GUCUGCCUCUAUUCAUUACUGCUGGAUUCUCUGAUUGUUUCCUUUAUUCCCAUCUUUGUACCCACAGUCCUGUUUUUCCUCCUCUUUUUUUGGCAGCGCUGUUUUAUCCCACGACGAAGAAAGCAAGCUACGUGCGGGAUAAACGGGCUGUUCGGUCGACAGCGGGAGACCCUGGUAAAAUGGCCUCCAUACUGAUGCUCUGACAGAGAGAGGCUGAGCUUCCACAAAAGCAGUCACACAUGUACAGAGCAGGCCUUUCUGUCAGAGGUUAGCACACAGAUGACUGGUUCAGUUUGGGGAAUGUUUUAUUUCUUCGUUAGCAAGUCAUGCACAGCACGUACAAAGGCUGCAGUCCUCAAAGCACCAGUCCAGGUUGGAAUCUGACCUUUGGCUCCAUUCCUGUAUGUCAUUCCCAACUUUCACUCCCAAAUUCCUGAUUUUAUCUACUGUCAUGUCUCUCCAACAAAGGCAUUAAAAGCCCUAAAUAAAUCUAAAAUAAAGAAAUAAAUGU